GACGAACGCUGGCGGCGUGCCUAACACAUGCAAGUCGAACGGAGAUACGAUUUCGGUUGUAUCUUAGUGGCGAACGGGUGAGUAACGCGUGAGCAACCUGACCUUUAGAGGGGGAUAACACUUGGAAACAGGUGCUAAUACCGCAUAAGACCACGACCCGACAUCGGGAUGAGGUCAAAGGAGAAAUCCGCUAAAGGAGGGGCUCGCGUCCCAUUAGAUAGAUGGCGGGGUAACGGCCCACCAUGUCGACGAUGGGUAGCCGAACUGAGAGGCUGAUCGGCCACACUGGAACUGAGACACGGUCCAGACUCCUACGGGAGGCAGCAGUGGGGAAUAUUGGGCAAUGGGCGCAAGCCUGACCCAGCAACGCCGCGUGAGGGAAGAAGGCCUUCGGGUUGUAAACCUCUGUCCUUGGUGACGAAACAAAUGACGGUAGCCAAGGAGGAAGCCCCGGCUAACUACGUGCCAGCAGCCGCUGUAA
rnacentral:rRNA from 1 species